AUGCCCGGUUGCCUGCCGACGAGCCGCCACCGGCCCCGCCGUGCUCGCUCCUCCUCAAUACCUCUCCACCACCGCCGUUGCCUGUGCCCCUGCCGCGUACGUCUCGCGCGUGCCUUAGCUGCGACGGGCUCGUUCACAGCCGCUGCCGCAUGCGCCCGCCCGGCGAGCUCCGCCGCCAGCCGUCACCUCGCUGCCCUACGUCUCCCAGCCUCCGCGCCAGCCCGUCCCCGACCUCCCUUGCGCCCGCUGCCAUGUCGAGCAGAUACCGCAGCCCAAAUCUUGAGCCAGGGAAACCCUAAUCGCCCCAGAACUAUAAGGCGCCGCCAGCACCGCAUUUCCCAAACCCUUGCGCCACAACCAGACGACGGGUAA
rnacentral:rRNA from 1 species